rnacentral:lncRNA from 1 species
GCGGGUUUCGAUUUGGAGUUCUCCAGGCAAGCCGUGUGCGCGUAUCUCCCAAGGUUGUCUACCUGCCUCGGUUCCCCUCUCGUGUCCUUCUUGCAGACCUUGCACGUCUUGUCCACCCAUCCUUCUUCCACGUAUUCGCCCUCGACUGCCAUUUAUACGCAGAAAAUCGACCUAAGAAAUGAUAGAACAGGAGAAAUUGCGGCAACCGCACCGCAUGAACUGAGAUCGUCGGCUAGGGUUCCAACCUUCGACAUAGGACUUGAAGAAAUCCUUGUAGGUGCCCCCGAUCUUCCUCCUGAGCGCUCCAUACUGCAAGAACACACGGUCGGUGAUGUUUUCCGCAGCGGCCGACAAAUCUGAGACCCGCUCAGAAGAGGAAGAGGAAGGAAUUUUCCGUUCCGUACCUGUUCUCUCGACAUCCUGCCGCCAGAUCUCGUGGCUUCUCGCGCAUCCUCGAGGAGCAUGGCGUCCUCGGAGGACCUCACCUGGGAGAAAUCGAGCGCCUCCGUCACGUUAUUGAACAGGGACUGCACGCCGCCGCCCGUCUUCUUCUUCUUCUUCUCCUCCGGCUCCGCUUCUCCCGCCCCAGCUUUCGCCCUGAUUCCUCCGACGCCGGCGCCGGCGAUCUUGCCGGAACACCUCGAAACUGGGACGCUAGCGGGGAGCCUCACCGAGGGGCAGCAGGCCCUGGAAGACGAGAGAGGAAGAGCCCUGGAACUGGCGGCCAUGGCUGACCGUCGUCCUCUCCGGUGGCUGCUGCUGC